rnacentral:lncRNA from 1 species
UUAAAAUAAGAUUAAGACCUAAUUAUGUGUCUAACAUAUCAAAAGCCAUUCAUCAUAUUCAUUCUUAUUGGUAGAAAAGAAAAAGAUAAUGUUUUUACAAGUCCUUCAGAUUUAUUAUUAUAGAGGGUUUAGUUUUCAAAGUAGGUACUUUACUUACAUGCCUACACUUUUAAUAGUAUUCAAAUGCAUUUAACCACGAAGGUUGUUAAUAAAAAAAAAAUAAUAAUAAUUUAAUUCUUGAACUUUCAUAACAUUCAUGAUAAAAAUAAUGUACACUCACCUUAUUUUUUAGCGCUAUUGAAGUUAUUCUCAUGGUUUAUUUUAUUGACUUUUUGCAUAGGUUAUUAGAAUUUUGUCACCAAAUUAUUUACUGUGCUAUGAUGGUACUUUAACCAGUUGAAAGAAUAAUGUCAGGCACAUUAAAAAAAAAAAAAAAUAAUAAUAAUAAUAGAAGGAAUGUUGAGACUUUUAGUUAGUAUGUGUCUACCAAUACAGCCUUUGUGGUGACUAGUUACUAACCUAUAUAGUACAAGUAUCAGGAUACCUAGGCUAAGUAUAUCUUUAAGUACAGGCUAAUCUCGAGAACUUUCGAAUAAAUUUGUGCGUGGCACUUGUCAUAGUCUUCACGUCUGCUAGAAAGUUACCACCAGUAAAAUAGAAACAAAAUGUGCCUAGGGGAAGCCAGGUAGAGUGGCUAGUAGUUUAUAAUAAAUGACGCGAAGUAAGAGUGUCUUGUAACUAAUCAAAAUGUUGUUUUAACUUGAAUGUUCUGGAUUAUUCACAAUCAUAGUGACGUAAACCUAAUUAAAAGAAUCUCAGCUUCUUAUAUUUACAGUUAAGUAACAUCAACAUGUAUGAUGUGGUUACUGCCGGUAGAUACUUCAAUUAAUGCGACUACUGUUAGUUUAUUAUUCGUAAUAACGUACCUAGCGUUAUCCCGAUACUAUUGAGUUAGUGUAAUUCCAUGAUCUCUGUCUACCCCAAUGUGGCUCUACGGAUUCUACAUUAUAAAGCAAUCUAAUCUCUUUGAUUAAACGCCUGUUGCGUAUCUUAUGAUUAUCGUAUUUUGCUACUUCUUCUUAUAUCGUGUGGGUUGUGAGGUGAAUUACCAACCUCAUCAACCCUGGUGUUAGGGUUAUUAUUGGGCCGUCAAGGGCCCCUGACAUGACUCAUGUAACAACUGCUUACUUAAAUUGGUAAUCAGUAACUGGGACCAACGGUUUAUUUUGUUUUCCGACAAUUGGGUGGUUAGCCUGUGGCGUCCUAACUAAACUAAGGAUCACAAAGUGGGUUUUGUGAUGUAUCCCCACAGGGAUUCGAACCCGGGACCAACCUCAACCUCUGGAUCAUGAAGGCCGAUUUCUGCUUAUUAUCAAUGUUAUCUAUUUUGCUAGUACUUAAAAACACUAAUAUACCUAUCUUAAACGUUGUAUGUAAUACUGUCCACUGCAAGAUAGUUAUGAGGCGGUAUACCAAAAAUUUAAGACUUAUAAAUACAAUAUGUUAUCUAGCCGUCAGACCAAUAAUUCUUAUGUGAUCGAAAGGUUUGAUGUUAUAAAUUGCGGUUAAAUACCUAAGGAAUAUUAUCCAAAUAAGCACUUAAGUUUGAGGGCAUUUUAGUGAUUCAAAAACGAACUCGUAAUGAUUAUAAAAAAAAGAGCUAUUAGAAUGUAUGGUAAACCUGGAAUGCAACAAUAUAUAUGGAUACAAUACAAUUACUCGUUAUUGAACCAAAACAAGACUUAUCAUCAAUACGCGGCAAUUGGCGACCUUAUCGAUGUAAUAAUAAUAAUAAUUUCUUAUAUGUGUAUAAAUCGUAAAUGAUGAUAUUAGUCGAUUAAGUUUAACGUAAUACCUAUCACAUAAUAAUUACUCGAAUAUGCGACAGAAGAAUAUGUGUAGGUACCUAGUAUUAUAUUUAUUUGUAUGUUUCAUAAACAUAACUAGCGAAAAGUGGGUAUUUGCAUACUAUACACCUCUGCUCACCCUUUCGGGGAUAUAAGCGAGAUGCUCUGUUAUGUGCUUUAUUCAUUGUAACUUUAAUUUUUAAAUCAGUUAGUUAAAAGGUUAAUUGGGCAUUACAUUAUUUAUCAGGGAUUCCCAAUAUUUGUAUUAUUACAGUUAUUACAACCAUACUUAUUAGGAUACAAUUAUUUACACUUGUUUUAUCCAAUUACAAUGACAGCUACUUAUCGACCACUACUUUCGGACGGCGAUAUAAUUCACCACUUAACAUUAUUAAUUAGACCAGAGCUUUGUUCGAAUAAGGCUCGGUUAGACGUGUGUACUUGGUUCAUCAUACGACGGCUCCCAACUAAUUGGGAAUAUAAUCUUAAUUCAGUUCUCUUUUAUUUUAGUUGUAUAGCGAAAUAUAGACAAACCUAAUAAUAUGCUUACGACAGCGAUUAUUCGAGUAGGUUCCGUGAAACCUACAGGUUUCACAGAAAAGCCAAAAGGGGUACCCAUAAUUAUUUGUUUUGGCUGCCAUUAAAUACUAUAGUUCAGUAUUGGAUGCCACACCAGAUAUAUAUGUCAUGUCCAUAUGCAAGUGUCAGAAAAAGGUGUGAAAAUGGAACAAGUUCAGUAUCUCUAGGUAUUCACAUUUAAAGUUGAAUAACAUGUUUCUUUUAAUUAAAAGGUGCUCCUAAUUAAAUUAUAGUGUUAGUGUAUUAUAGUAUUCUGUAGUUCUUUUUUAAAUCCAAGUUAUUAGUUUUGUAAUCAUUUAAUGUGGGGUUCCGUUAAAAGGGAAAGUUGUUCCGAACUCUACAAGAUGUUGAAAAUAAACACAAGUAAGAAAGAAUACUUACAGUCAUCUUAGCAAUUACAAAAACAUAAAAGAAGUACAUUAUGUAAUUAAUACUUGUUAUUUAUUUGAUGAUAAUACUUAUCAAUUUAAUUAUCCAAUAUUUUGUUUCGGAAGAGGCAAAAAUUUAUUUAUUAAAAAUUAUUAAAGCAUACUUUAUAGUAUACCUACUCAAGUAUACUCUUACUAAUUACAUGGGAACCGAUUACGGUUUAUACUAAUUUAUAAUAGAUAUACUUAAUACCCUGACUCUAUUCAGUAAAGAACCUGCAAAUAUAGAAAUCGUUAGCAGAUAAUUUUACAAACUGACCAAUUUUAAGGGUCAACAGAUAAUUUUACAGACUGACCAAUUUUAAGGGUCAAUAGAUAAUUUGACAGACUGACCAAAUUCAAGGGGUCGACAGAUAAUUUGACAGACUGGCCAAUUUCAAGGGUCAACAGGUAAUUUCACCAACUGACCAAUUUCAAGGGUCAACAAAUAAUUUUACAGACUGACCAAUUUUAAGGGUCAACAAGUACCAAUGCAAUGCCAUGAUUUAACUGACAAAUUGCCGAGUAAGACAGAACUGGUCUAUACAAUGAGACAAUAAAUAUAAUAAGUGGUAGCAGUAUAAAUUAUAAACUGUUUAUUAUUAGAAUCAGAAUAGUCACCAGCGACUAUCCUUCGGUACUUGUCAAUUUCAAGGACAGGUAUAGAAUCAGAAUAUUCACCAGCGAUUAUCCUUCGGUACUUGUCAAUUUCAAGGACAAGUAUAGGAUUACAGUGAUCACCAAGGAUCAUACUUAGGUACUUGUCAAUUUCAAGGACGAUUAUCAGGAACUGACUAAUUUCAAGGGUCAGUAAUAAGCUCAGGGUGAUCACCAGCGAUCAUCCUUAGGUACUUGUCAAUUUCAAGGACGAGUAUUAGGAACUGACUAAUUUCAAGGGUCAGUAAUAAGCUCAGGGUGAUCACCAGCGAUCAUCCUUAGGCACUUGUCAAUUUCAAGGACGAGUAUUAGGAACUGACUAAUUUCAAGGGUCUGUAAUAGGCUCAGAGUGAUCAUCAGCAAUCAUCCUUAGAUACAUAUCAAUAACAAGUACCUAGGAAUAUGUGUUAGGAACUAACCAAUUUCAGGAGUUAGUGCGACUUACGGUCAUUUAACUUUAAUAAAAACUUUAUUGAUCUAAAAUGUGUCUUAUCGUGCAUUUACUUAGACUUACAGUUGAUACAGUCAAAUAUACCUACGGUAUUUUAUAUGUAAAUAAAGUAAAGCUUGUGAAGUUUGUGUGAAGGUUAAUCUAAGAGAUAUUUAUUUUCAAAUUAGAAAGUUACAUGUCAAUUUCAAGUAAGGACAUGUAUUAUAAACUAACCAAUUUCAAGGGUUAGUAAGGCUUUAAGUUUAUUUAACAUUAAGCAAAUCUCUAUUUAUGCAAAAUGUGCUUUAGCAUGUAUUUAUUCAGACAUACAGUUGAUACCGACAGAUAUAUCUAUAGUAGUGUUAUUAGAACAAGUUUGUUCGAAGUUUAAGCUUAAAGUUAUCUUUUUUUUUUAAAUCAGUAAGUUUAUAUUAUUUACAGUACUUUAAUAGUGAUAAAGAUUGUCAAGUAACUUCAAAGAGUAUCGCUAGAAAUAAGCAUAUAAAUUCUGUCAUUAUACUUAAAAUUCCUACUGUAUUUUAAUUUGCGUAACGAGUGUAGCAUUAUAUAAAAAGAAAAGAAAUGUACUUCUUAUUUUAUUGUUAGUAGCUCUAAUGAACAACGAAGGGACUCGUUGAUAUAUCGGAUGGCCGAGUUGUUAUGAUCUUCAUGAUAUGGGCUAUAAACUGUUACAAAUAACACUAGUAUUACAGUUGUGUUGGUAUACAUUAAUAGUUAUCUUUAUGUUUGUUUCAAUUAUUCCUGCAUUAAUAUAAUAAUUGAAUGUACAAAUACCUAGUUAUAAAUAUAUUGUUAUACUUAUUGUAAAUUAUUUUAACUUCAAUUACUCGUAUUAGUAACUCGCUCUGUAAACGUAUCCUCUCGUUUGACGUGAGAUGU